GUACGCUAGUAUAACUAGCGGACAGGAAUAAUAUUUUGUCUAUCAAGCCCCCCCCUAACAACAAACAAAAACACCGAACAAAAAAUAACCGUAUAUAAUCUGUCCGCUAGAAUAACUAGCAGAUAAAAUGUUUAAAGUUUAUUGUGGAAGGGACUUUUAAAUCACACAAGGAAAAGUACACAUGCAUCAACCCUGACUUCCAAAUCACACAAGAAAAAGUACACAUGCAUCAACCUUUUGGCCAUGUCCUCCGUCUUAAUACUAAAAAAAACUCUAAAUGAUAACUAAAUUAUUAUAUUUGGGUUUAAUUUCGAAUGGACAAUUCCCUCCAGAGGAAAAAGAAAAGUAGUUACUAUAUGUAUACAUCACAGUACUCUCACAUUGAUGCAUUUUAAGUAUUUAAUAUAGAUGUUGCUUUCAUGGUUUCCAAUAAUAAUAAUGUUGUUUCGUUGACUUCCAAAUCACAUAAGGAAUGUUUGCACACGGUUUAUGUUUAAUAAUGUUGCAAUUCCAAAUCCUUGCCACAAAGGCUCUCAUGCUUUGAAAGACCUCUUAAUCGAUGUCGCACAUAUGCGGCAAAAGUUCCAGCUUGAACCAUAUCCCUACAGAACUGGCACGUCACUAGGCUUAAUGGGCAAUGCGAGGAUUGGUCUUUCACCUAGCGGAGGAAAAAAGAAGAGGAAUGGGAUUGAGAAGAGUGCAUAAAAUGCAAUAAAUCUGCAGCAAUUUCUUAUGAGAACAAAAUAUUAAAAGACACAUUUAACUGCACAAAGGAAAGAACUCUGUUAAAUGUUAUGUAUGAGAUUCUAUUAGGAACUGCAACUGAGGAAAAAAGUCAAAAUAUCAAUCUUGACUGCCAAUAAUUUUUAGGUUUUAAGUCCAUAAUGUUUAUCAUAGGCAGUACUAACGAUGAAAAGUUCAUAGACAAAGGCCAAAAUCUGAGGCAUUAGAACAGUAACAAGACAACAGACAACAGAUUAGCAAUGCAAUAAUAGACCCUAUAUUUAGAAACAAUGAUUGAUGCCGACUUGGACACCUAAAUCAAAAAAACAAAUGAAAGGCCCAAACAAACAUGCUCUAGAAACCAAUCUGCUUAGCAGCUUGCCAUGAGAGACACAAUAUAUGAAUAUAUCAUACAAGCAAAAUUAGUGAAAUUGGUGAACCUGAAUACUUGUGUGUUCUUAUUUUUUUCGUUCUUCUUUAAUUUAUGUGUGAUCGUACUCAUCACCCGAUUUUAAUCUAACACGCUAUCACUUAUCUUUGACAUCUUUCCUAUUCUAUAUGACAGUAAACCAUGCUUGCUUUAAGUCGUUGUAACUUAAUUAAUUAUUAGCAUGUUAAUAAUUGGGUUUCAACACAGAUUAGCAAUGCAGCAAUAGACACAAUAUUUAGAAACAAUGAUUGAUGCUGACUUGGACACCUAAAUUAAAAAAACAAAUGAAAGGCCCAAACAAACAUGCUACAAAACAAACCUCUAGAAACCAAUCUGCUUAGCAGCUUGCCAACAAUUAUCAUCCAAAGGAGGUCAAGUCUAAACUUUUUGAAACAAGACAAUACAACUACAUAUUAGGAACAACUAUGAACAAUCCAAAUAUUACACAAAGAUAACAAGCAUAUAAAUUCUCUUCUGACAUACAUACAUUGUAACUGUGGACCUAAUUAACUUCACAAAACAACAUCAUUCUCAUUGGCAUUUUUGCUAAAGAUACAAUUUCAUUCAUACAAAUUUAAGAAAAAUAAUAGAUAAAUAAACAAUAAAUAAAUAAAUAAAAUAACAAAUGUAUAAAUUAAUGAUAUAAAUAAACAAAUAAUAACAUAAUUUCAUUCAUACAAAUUUAAGAAAAAUAAUAGAUAUAUAUUGUAAAACCAACCUUAAACGUGUAACAUGUCCAAUUAAUCAUUAAUUCAGCUCAUGCUAAAAGGUGUCAUCAAUCAAUUGACACGAGAGCAAGUAGAAAGAAUUCUGAUCACAAACUCUUUAGGGGCCAGCCACACUCCUAUCAUUUCCUCCCCAAUUUGAGCUAUUGUCUUUCCAUUUAUCAUAAACUAUAAAGAAAAUGUGCAACCAAGUGAUAACCCAAUUCUCAGAAUAUAUAUAAUAUGUUUAUUUUACUUAAAAAAAUACCAAUUGAUUAAGCAAUAGAACAGUACCAAAAUGUAAUACUUGUCAAAACAUGACAAUGAGUCUAUCUUUGGUUGAAUAAGUAAUGGGAUAAAUCCAUUCCUGGGCAUUACACACGUAACUCUAAUUGAAGUAAACAAAUGUUACCUAUAUUCUUUUCUAUAAGGCCUAAAUAUAGAUUAAUACCCUAAACUUUGCAAUUAAUGCAAUUGAUCAUACACAUGCAUACACUUGUUAAGCAACUUACAACUUUAAGCUCAAACUUCAUACAAUUAAUUAUAAGCUGGCAUUACGAAUACAUGGGGGAAAGGAAAAGAGAGAGGAAAAAAAAGAGCUGAAAUUAAAACCCAUCACCAGAAGCUAUAAAUGAUCAAAACCCAUAAAGAUAAAGACAUUGUAACAAUCUAAGGAAAAAAUUAAUUAUAAAAAGGAAUGACCAAAACACAGAAGAAAAACCUUAAAAAAUUUAAAACCCACUUAUGGAAACAGACACUUGUGAAACCCAAUAAAAGUAAAAUGUUUCAAAAUAAACCAAAAUUUAGUACCUAAAGGAAACAAAGAUAAACAACAAACGAAAAAAGAAAAACAAUAGUAUUUACCUGAGGCAACAGGAAGAGGAAUGCAUGUCUGGUGGGGAGAAGUGGCAAACGCCAUUUUAUCAAAACCUUUUUUCUAAAACAAAUUAACAAAAACACAAAUCUUUGCCUGCUAAUGCAAUUGUUUUAAACAAUUUCUCAUGUCAAAAGCAAUUAUUCUAAACAUUUAAGGAAGUUUUCAGAACUUCUUCUCACUCCCAGUCCCAGCUCAGCCAUACCCCUCAAUUACCACAUUCUUUUCUUAAAUGAGCAAAAAAUAUUCAAAUGAUAAGUAGCCUAGCAUUUUUAAUAGGACAAACUUGCUGAAAUGUGCUGAGAGAUGCUAAGAUGGAGCCUCCAAUCAAAGCACUAUACUUUCUCUCCGUAAGUCCUUCAGAAACAGUAUCAGAGUUCAGAUUAAUUUGAACUACUAGCAGAUUGAAAGGUUUCAAAUAGGCAAAUUUAUUUUUUGGACAAAGAUAGAUGGGUUACCAAUUCACAGUUUUCAAUUUUUAACCUUAUAAUUCGAAAACUCAACGACAAAUCCUUAUAAUUCGAAAACUCACCGACAAAUCUUCACGCUUCGCUGCUGCUAGAAGAAUCGCCGCUGAGAUUGUGUCGUUGCAGAGGAAUCGUAUGAGGAUUGGCCGCUGAGAUUGAGUAGUUGCAGGUAAGCCACGGCUAGAAAAAUCGCCGCAGAAAUUGUGGUUUUUUGCUUUGCCUGAUGGGGUAAUUUCGU
rnacentral:lncRNA from 1 species